UAACUCGACUAUCACUAGUGUUGACUAUAUUCAUUCCCUCUCACUUUAUCACAUCUCUGUAUCUUAACUCUAUCUGCUAUUAUAAGCACUAUGCCGGCUGUGUGUCUGCCUUUGAGCACAGGUGAGAACUCGUUCGAUGUCCAGCUGUGAGAGCGGAAAGCGGCGCUGGUAACAUCCCGGGCGGACGCUCACUCGUCCCAGGUAAAUUCCCGGGUUGAACCUAACGCUCCCAGCACCUCAACUCCGCGUGUUUCUCUGCCCAGGCCCAGCGCACCUACAACGUGGCCCGCCCAGGUAUCGUUCACUCCGGCACCGGUGCACCACGGACCCUGGAUGCUGCAGCAGCGGAAGACACGAGCCAAGCCCCGGUCGAAGACAUCUCCCCCGCUUCGCCACUCUCUGCGAGACGGAACGUCAUACUGUGAUUCUUGGAGAUUCCAUCGUCCGGCAUGUCCGCGCUACCGGAGACAAAGUAUUGGGUGACCUACGUUCCUGUGGUGGUGAACAUGACUGCGAGUUCUCCAGAAGAACAAAUGCUGGGAACUAAAUGAAGAGGAAUGAAUGAAAAGUGGUAUCCAAUCUGUGAUAUUAUUGGGGACCUGAUUAUGGUUCAGAACGAUCUAUAAAACAUAACUGACUACUAAAAUCAGAUUGUCAAAAUGUCCCUCCACUGCAGCAACA